rnacentral:snRNA from 9 species
AUACUUACCUGGACGGGGUCUAUGGCUGAUCAAGAAGAGCCAUGGCCUAGGCUAGUGGCCCACAUUGCACUUUGUGGGUGCGCUGGUUUACCAUCUCCCCUUUGAGGGAGAGCGGAUGUCAUAAUUUAUGAUAGAGGGGGUACGUGUUCGCGCGGCCCCUGC